rnacentral:rRNA from 1 species
AGCUCCAAUAGCGUAUAUUAAUGUUGUUGCAGUUAAAAAGCUCGUAGUUGGAUAUCUGGCUUUUGUACUGACAGCCCGUCACAUUUGUGAUCGUAGGCUGAAUGUACUAGUCUAUCUUUCGGUUUGUGAUACUGUUCUUUAUUGGAUGAUAUCUUACAUACCGGAUCGUUUACUUUGAAGAAAUUAGAGUGUUCAAAGCAGGCUUAUGCCUUGAAUAUUGCAGCAUGGAAUAAUGAUAUAGGACUGUUAUCAGUUUCUUUUCGUUGGUCUCAAGAAGCACAGUAAUGAUUGAUAGGGACAGUUGGGGGUGCUGCUAUUCCGCGGCCAGAGGUGAAAUUCUCAGAUUCCCGGAAGAGCAACUUAUGCGAAAGCAUUCACCAAGGAUGUCUUCUUUAAUCAA